rnacentral:rRNA from 1 species
AGUAGUUUGAUCAGUGGCUCAAGAACGAACGCUGGCGGCGCGCCUAAUACAUGCAAGUCGAGCGAGAAGGUGUAGCAAUACACUUGUAAAGCGGCGAACGGGUGAGGAAUACAUGGGUAAUCUACCAUCGAGUGGGGAAUAACCAACCGAAAGGUUGGCUAAUACCGCGUACGCCUCCGAGUCUUCGGGUUCGGAGGGAAAGCUGCACUGUGAGUGUAGCGCUCUUUGAUGAGCUCAUGUCCUAUCAGCUUGUUGGUAGGGUAACGGCCUACCAAGGCUUUGACGGGUAGCUGGUCUGAGAGGACGAUCAGCCACACUGGCACUGCGACACGGGCCAGACUCCUACGGGAGGCAGCAGUAAGGAAUAUUGCGCAAUGGGCGAAAGCCUGACGCAGCGACGCCGCGUGGGGGAUGAAGGUCUUCGGAUUGUAAACCCCUUUCGGGAGGGAAGAUGGAGCGAGCAAUCGUUCGGACGGUACCUCCAGAAGCAGCCACGGCCAACUUCGUG